AUGGGACAGAAAAAGAGCAAGUCUUCUGAUCCCAUAGAGGGCUUUACAGUCGAUAGCUCUUUAGGAUUAAUGAUUAAGUAUUGGAAUGAUUGGCCCUCCCGAAAAGGCAGAAGUCGAGAGAAAAUGGUACAUUACUGCAUGCAAGUAUGGGGUGGGAAGCAGAUUAGAAGAGACCCCCUUUAUUGGCCAAUAUACGGGUCUUUUGAAAAUCGGAUAUGUCAGGCCCUAAAUAUAUAUGUGAAUUCAAAGGAGCCCUUUAGUUUAGAAGAAAGUGAGUAUGCUAGUUUAUGRAUAAGACCAGAUACUYGRACCWUGAUAUUUACCCUGAAAGAGAAGGGUUCGAGGAAGAAAAGCAAAAUAUUGGAGGAACUUCCCGUUUCUCCUCCCCCCUAUAYUCCCUCAGCUCCAGCUCAAAACCCAAUACCAACCCCUCCUCAUAGCCCCCCCCCAACGACCGCGGACCGGGAUCUAGACCCUCCUAGUUCCCCAGAAGAAACCCGAAGGGUCACGAGGAGUCAAACGAGGGGAGGUGGGCGACCUGAUCAGCUGUACCCCUUGCGAGAACUCCCCAUGGGAGGACCGCAACCAGGGAUGGGUUUUGUGUCCAUGCCCCUGAGUUCAGGGGACGUACGGGAUUUCAAGAAAGAAAUGGGGAAUUUAUUAGAAGACCCUUUAGGGGURGCUGAAAAAUUAGAUCAGUUCUUAGGUCCUAGCCUUUAUACAUGGGAGGAAUUACAAUCCAUCCUGAGCAUAUUAUUUACAGUGGAAGAAAGGGAAAUGAUCCGUAGGGCCGGGAUGCGGAUUUGGGAUCAACAGCACCAACAAGGUCCCGCAGCAGAUAUCAAAUGGCCCACCCAACGGCCGGACUGGGACAAUCAGAAUGCUGAGUAUCGGACACAUAUGUCCGAUCUAAGAACCAUAAUAGUUCAGGGAAUUAGGGAAUCUGUUCCCGGGGGCAAAAUACUAAUAAGGCCUUCAUGGAACAACAGAAGAAGGACGAAACACCAACAGAAUGGCUCGAGAGACUUAGGAAAAACCUGCAACUUUAUUCCRGGGUAG
rnacentral:lncRNA from 1 species